GUGCAUUCGACACCUCUACCGAACAUGGGCUGUUCCGUAUUUUGUAACCCGCUAACCGAGUGUCGGCCAGGGGUCGUGUAUACAUCUCGAACACCGAACAGAAGUACAUCAGUUGGCGACAUAAAUUGUACAUAUAACUCAAUAUAAGUUGCUCCACUAGCAAGAUGAGUCUGCACGAUUGCCUCCAAGCUACGAGCACCUUUUAUGUCGAACG
rnacentral:lncRNA from 1 species